AGCCGCGGCACACCCUAGUGUGCGUCUCUAGAUUUGCAUUCUAGCGUGAAGCACCUCACGGC
rnacentral:tRNA from 1 species